UUUUGAUGUUGAAACACCAAUUCUCAUCUGAUUAUCAAUGCUAAGCAAUGUCGAGCCUGGUCAGUACCUAGGUGGGUGACCGCUUGGGAAUACUAGGUGCAGUAA